CCUACGGGCGGCAGCAGUGAGGAAUAUUGGUCAAUGGGCGCGAGCCUGAACCAGCCAAGUAGCGUGAAGGAUGACUGCCCUACGGGUUGUAAACUUCUUUUAUAAAGGAAUAAAGUGAGGCACGUGUGCCUUUUUGUAUGUACGUUAUGAAUAAGGAUCGGCUAACUCCGUGCCAGCAGCCGCGGUAAUACGGAGGAUCCGAGCGUUAUCCGGAUUUAUUGGGUUUAAAGGGAGCGUAGAUGGGUUGUUAAGUCAGUUGGGAAAGUUUGCGGCUCAACCGUAAAAUUGCAAUUGAUACUGGCAGUCUUGCGUCCAGUUGAGGUAGGCGGAAUUCGUGGUGUCGCGGUGACAUGCUUAGAUAUCACGAAGUACUCCGAUUGCGAAGGCAGCUUACUAAACUGCCCCUGACAUUGAUGCUCGAAAGUGUGGGUAUCAAACAGGCUUAGAUACCCCUGUAGUC
rnacentral:rRNA from 1 species